rnacentral:misc_RNA from 1 species
GAUGAAGAACGUAGCGAAAUGCGAUAAGUAAUGUGAAUUGCAGAAUUCAGUGAAUCAUCGAAUCUUUGAACGCACAUUGCGCCCGCCAGUAAUCUGGCGGGCAUGCCUGUUCGAGCGUCAUUUCAACCAUCAAGCCCCCGGGCUUGUGUUGGGGACCUGCGGCUGCCCGCAGGCCCUGAAAACCAGUGGCGGGCUCGCUGUCACACCGAGCGUAGUAGCAUCAUCUCGCUCAGGGCGUGCUGCGGGUUCCGGCCGUUAAAAAGCCUCUAAUACCCAAGGUUGACCUCGGAUCAGGUAGGAAGACCCGCUGAACUUAAGCAUAUCAAUAAGCGGAGGA